rnacentral:rRNA from 1 species
CCCUUAGAUGUUCUCGGCCGCACACGCGCUACACUGAAAGAGGCAACGUGUUUGCCUGAUUCGAAAGAAUUGGGUAACCCCCUAAUCUCUUUCGUGCUGGGGAUUGAGGUUUGCAAUUAUCCUUCAUGAACGAGGAAUUCCCAGUAAGUGCGAGUCAUUAUCUCGCGCUGACUACGUCCCUGCCCUUUGUACACACCGCUCGUCGCUACUACCGAUUGAAUGAUUUAGUGAGGACUUCGGACUGAGUCCAAUGCGGCUUUCGGGCUGCGUUGGUAUUUCGGAAAGAUGUCCAAACUGUAUCAUUUAGAGGAAGUAAAAGUCGUAACA